GACGAACGCUGGCGGCGUGCUUAACACAUGCAAGUCGAACGGACAGUCCCUGCUUUUGUGCGGUGCUCGAGUGGCGACCGGGUGAGUAACCCUUGAGUUACCUACCCUUGCCUUUGGGGUUACUUCAGACAACUGGUGCUAAUACCGGAUAGAGGAUCCUGCUGCAUGUUGGGUGUCGGCUAGUUUCCGCGGUUGGGGAUGGACUCCCGGCUUAUCCACCUAUUAGUGGGGUGUCUGCUUACCAAAGCAUUGACGGGUGGCCGGCCUGAGAGGGUGAGCGGAGACAUUGGGACUGAGAGACGGCGCAGACUCCUACGGGAGGCAGAAGUGGGGAAUAUUGCACGAUGGGCGGAAGACUGAGGCAGCAACGCAGCGUGUGGGAUGACGGCCUUCGGGUUGUAAAACGCUUUCGCCUGUGACGAAGCGUGAGUGACGGUAAUGGGUAAAGAAGCACCGGCUAACUACGUG
rnacentral:rRNA from 1 species